UAAAGGAACAUGGGGGUGUUUUCUGAACAGCAGCUACAACAUAUGGUCUUAUCUUCCUGCAUCCUCAAGAAAGAAAUGGUGACAGCGGCCAUGAAAUUUAUAAUAAAUAUUUGAGGAGAAAGUAAAGUACAGUUUUCAUCUACGUGACUGCAGAGAAAAACAUGAAAAGUUUACUACUGAGCGCUCCUUCACAGCCAAGUUGGAAAUGUGCCAUAGUAUAUGCAGAAAGUGAUCUUGGAGAAAGGCCACUUUGAGAAAUGGCAGAAGCUAGUGGCUGGAGGUUCACUGUUUCCCCAUUCCUGAUCUAAAGGGCCUGCUGACAAGUUGUCUCAUCACUAGUAAAUGUUCCUCUUCCUUCUCAGUAAAUGCCAUGAGUCAAGACUGCAUCCCAAUAAGGACUUGUUUCAGUUUUUACAAAUGAUGAGGACAGCAGCAAAAACCAACCUUACUCAGGAGGUGCUCCUUUUUAGGGACAGACAAAGAAAAGAGCAUUCAUUGGGCUCCUUUAGAAUUUCUGCUUAACAUUUCUGAUGAGCCAACAAAUAGUCUUGUAAGGUUGUGUAGACUACAUGUUUGUAGGCCAGGGGUUCCAUAUGGGUACCAGAAGGUUAUGCCACAGACCUCACCAGGAUUAUCACAUUAAACAGAUGCCUGCAUAAUAUAUGCUAAAACACAGCUUCCCAGAUAACAAUAUCUUUUAAAUCAUUUAAUGUGUUUAUAUUGAUCCAAGAGGAAACAUCGAUUUAUACAAGUUUUACUGUUAUAUGGUUUCCCAUUCUGUUACUUCAGGCCUACAUAAACACAUUUUAUAAAUAAAUAACCUUCCUAAAUUCAUUUCUUUCUUGUUAUUGUUUCUCUUAAAAUAGCCCUACUUUUAAAGCAUACUGAAAUCACAGACAUAAAACUCCAUUUAAAUAAUGUAACACUGACAGAACCUGACACAUAGCCUGGACAUUCAGAGCUGUGGUUGGCUCAAGCCACUGAACUCAAGCCACUGUGCCUUUCAUUUUCCACAGGAGCAUUAUUGCAGCUUUAAGUGUGGAUUUCCUGGUGGUGCUGCUAAUGGUUGAUAAUAAUAAUAAUAAUAAAAUAAAAUUUUAUUUCUGAGUCGCCUAUCUGGCCGAAAUAACGGCCACUCUAGGCGAUGCACAUUAAUACAAUAAAAUACAAUAUAAAAUAGAUAAGACCAUCAUCGGCUAACCCACUCUUCCAGUUAAUAACACAUUAACAACUAACCCAUCCCAGAAAUCCCAUAGGCCUGCCUGAAUAGCCAGGUCUUC